CUUAUUGUUUUGGAUUUCCCUCUCCCUCCACCGCCCCCACCCACUCUCCUCGCUGCAGGAUAGAAGAGAGAAGCGACCAAGCGCCGGCGACGAGGCGGGCAUGCGUCAGCGACGAGGCGGGCUCCUCUGUCCUGCCGGAAUCAUGGCGCGACGGAGAUGAGGUGGCUGGCAGCGGGGAGGAGCUCCUCCGCGACCCAGCAUCGGGACGUGGCGCGCCGGCGACGAGCCGGGCUGAUCUGUCUUGGCCAGAAUCGCGGCGCGACGGAGAUGAGGCAGGCGGCGACGGGGGGAAGUUUCACCGGUGGUGCAGGGGCCGGAUCUGGCCGAAGGCGGGGAAGAGGCAGAUGCUCGCCGGACGAGCUCGGUGUCAGCACCAGCACGCUCGUCGGGGAGUGCGGCGAGCAGCAGCCGGCUCGAUGGAGAAGGGCGGUGUGCAGAGGAGAGGCGGAGGCUCACCACCAGCACGCUCGCCGGAGAGUUCGGCGAGCAGCAACCCACCACCAGCAGGCUCGCUCGGUGGCGCUGCGGAUCCUGGGUUGGCGCGGCGAGGCCUCCUCCCCCUCGUCCCAGCCGUAGGAGGACACACAGUUCAAGUCUUCAUGGCAAGUUUUUGCUGCACUGCACUGUGAGGCUGUUUGCUGCAUCUGCUAUUUUUUUUCAAGUCUAAUCUCAUUGCUGUUAUAAAGGAAGAUGCCUACUACGACCGUGUUCGUAGUCUCGUUGAUCAGCUCCGGCCAUGGCUCCGAUUCUCAGUGAGGAAGCCAGCAGGAAGUAUAUCACUCUGCAUUUGUGAAUGCACUGAGCCGUUGUGCCAUUUCCUGCCCGCCGAGCCUUCAGAUUCGGCGCUUCGACGGAAGAACGGGGGGACUCGCCCAUCUACUUCGCCAACUCCGGUAACAUGGGCGAGAGGAUCACCACGAACGGACCAGUGCCAAGGGCAAGACCGGCGUGUAUAUUUGGCCAUGGGCUGGGCCGGGCCGGGCUUGGGCCGGGCCUAAAAAAGACCAUGGCAGAAAACUGAGGCCUAGGCCCUCCCAGGCCCUACCAUCGGGCCUACUUUUCAAGCCCAAGCCCGACCCAUCUCGUAAAAAGCCCUGAAAAGCCUUUAGGGCCGUGGGCCGGGCCUCUUCCUUAAAAUGCCAAUAUGCCAAGCCCAAGCCCGUCCAGGCCCUACUGAUGGGCUCAAAACUCAGACCCAAGCCCGGCCCAUGGAUAAGCCCAUCGGGCCUAGGCCCUGGAUUUUAGGGUCGGGCCUGGGUGGGCCGACAGGGCCGGGCCUGAGAUGGCCAGGACUACCGGCGUGUAGUACAUCGUCGUUGACAUGGGUGCAGCCAUCAGCAGCAUCGUCAGGAGGGGCAUGCUGGACGAGCUCAAGAAGACCCUGGAUAGGAGGGGAAUUCAGGUAAGAACAGAGGAACACAAACUGCCAUGUUUCUGAAGAAAAUAGAGCAUGCUUUUUGUGAUAUGAACCAUGGCUGAUUCACCAUUUUGUAAACCUAAACUUUUCCAGCAAACGUGGGAGAAAUUUAUAUUCAGUUAACACAUGGAAUUUAUAUUCAGAUGAUAUGGCUACUUCAUAUUAGGGAGAAAUUUUAGAGUGGAGAGCAUAUUAAGUUACCAUCAGUUCUUUUGACAUACCAAAUUGAUGCUGGAACCAUAUGCACUGGUAAUGUUAAUUGCCAUGGCAAAAAUACUUUUUAAUAAAGUUGCCAUCAGUUUUUUAUUCA